UACGAAGGGUGCAAGCGUUGCUCGGAAUUAUUGGGCGUAAAGGGUAGGUAGGUGGUCUCGUUUGUCCGGGGUGAAAGCCUUGAGCUUAACUCAAGAAGUGCCUCGGAAACGGCGAGACUAGAGUAUUGGAGAGGGUCGUGGAAUUCCCGGUGUAGCGGUGAAAUGCGUAGAGAUCGGGAGGAACACCAGAGGCGAAGGCGGCGACCUGGACAAUUACUGACACUCAACUACGAAAGCGUGGGGAGCAAACAGG
rnacentral:rRNA from 1 species